rnacentral:rRNA from 1 species
GAUGAACGCUGACAGAAUGCUUAACACAUGCAAGUCGACUCGAGUCUUCGGACUUGGGUGGCGGACGGGUGAGUAACGCGUAAAGAACUUGCCUCAUAGUCUGGGACAACAUUUGGAAAUGGAUGCUAAUACCGGAUAUUAUACUUUCUUCGCAUGGAGGAAGUAUGAAAGCUAUAUGCGCUAUGAGAGAGCUUUGCGUCCCAUUAGCUAGUUGGUGAGGUAACGGCCCACCAAGGCGAUGAUGGGUAGCCGGCCUGAGAGGGUGAACGGCCACAAGGGGACUGAGACACGGCCCUUACUCCUACGGGAGGCAGCAGUGGGGGAUAUUGGACAAUGGACCAAAAGUCUGAUCCAGCAAUUCUGUGUGCACGAUGACGUUUUUCGGGAUGUAAAGUGCUUUCAGUCGGGAAGAAGCAAGUGACGGUACCGACAGAAGAAGCGACGGCUAAAUACGUGCCAGCAGCCGCGGUAAUACGUAUGUCGCAAGCGUUAUCCGGAUUUAUUGGGCGUAAAGCGCGUCUAGGCGGCAAGGAAAGUCUGAUGUGGAAAUGCGGGGCUCAACUCCGUAUUGCGUUGGAAACUGCCUUACUAGAGUACUGGAGAGGUAGGCGGAACUACAAGUGUAGAGGUGAAAUUCGUAGAUAUUUGUAGGAAUGCCGAUGGGGAAGCCAGCCUACUGGACAGAUACUGACGCUAAAGCGCGAAAGCGUGGGUAGCAAACAGG